rnacentral:rRNA from 1 species
UACGUAGGGGGCUAGCGUUGUCCGGAAUCACUGGGCGUAAAGAGCGUGUAGGCGGCUCGGUAAGUCCGCUGUGAAAGUCCAGGGCUCAACCCUGGAAUGCCAGUGGAAACUGUCGAGCUAGAGUCCGGAAGAGGCGAGUGGAAUUCCUGGUGUAGCGGUGAAAUGCGCAGAUAUCAGGAAGAACACCCGUGGCUAAGGCGGCUCUCUAGUACGGUACUGACGCUGAGACGCGAAAGCGUGGGGAGCGAACAGG